UGGGGAAUUUUGCACAAUGGGGGAAACCCUGAUGUAGCGACGCCGCGUGAUUUAGAAGGCCCUCGGGUUGUAAAACUCUUUUCUAUGGGAAGAUAAUGACGGUAUCCUGUGAGGACGCCCCGGCUAACUACGUGCCAGCAGCCGCUGUAAUACGUAGGGGGCUCGCGUUAUUCGGUUUUACUGGGCGUAAAGGGUGCGUAGGUGGUCUUUCAGGUCGGUGGUUAAAGGCUACGGCUCAACCGUAGUUAGCCUCCGAAACUGGUAGACUUGAGUGCAGGGGAGGAAAGUGGAAUUCCCAGUGUAGCGGUGAAAUGCGUAGAUAUUGGGAGGAACACCAGUGGCGAAGGAGGCUUUCUGGACUGCAACUGACGCUGAGGAACGAAAGAAUGGGUAGCAAACAGG
rnacentral:rRNA from 1 species